CGGGGCGUGGCGCAGCCUGGCUAGCGUACCUGCUUUGGGAGCAGGGGGUCGGAGGUUCAAAUCCUCUCGCCCCGACCA
rnacentral:tRNA from 6 species